AGUAAUGUCUGGGAAACUGCCUGAUGGAGGGGGAUAACUACUGGAAACGGUAGCUAAUACCGCAUAAUGUCGCAAGACCAAAGUGGGGGACCUUCGGGCCUCAUGCCAUCAGAUGUGCCCAGAUGGGAUUAGCUAGUAGGUGGGGUAACGGCCCACCUAGGCGACGAUCCCUAGCUGGUCUGAGAGGAUGACCAGCCACACUGGAACUGAGACACGGUCCAG
rnacentral:rRNA from 1 species